UACGUAGGCAGCAAGCGUUGUUCGGAUUCACUGGGCGUAAAGGGUGCGCAGGUGGUUUGGCAAGUUUGAUGUGAAAGCCCCGGGCUUAACCCGGGAAUGGCAUUGAAUACUGCUUGAACUGGAGGGUCGGAGGGGGGACUGGAAUUCUUGGUGUAGCAGUGAAAUGCGUAGAUAUCAAGAGGAACACCAGUGGCGAAGGCGAGUCCCUGGACGAUACCUGACACUGAGGCACGAAAGCCAAGGGAGCAAACAGG
rnacentral:rRNA from 1 species